AGGAAUGCGUAUAGCAGCAUCACAGAGCUGAGGGCCCUGACUUACAAAGGCCCAUCUGCAACACUCGAAACUACCUGCUCACAUCCAUCUUUUCUGAUGGGCUCCGGGCUCCAAGAAGACAGAGGCUUGGUGUGUCUUAUUCAGCUUUAGUACCUAGAAGCACCUGGCACAAAGUCAAUGCUCAAAAAGUUUUGCAGAACUAUAUUAAAUUGUAUGACAUUUUUCUCUGACAUUACUCAGAAGCCCAGAAGAGUUCUCAGAACUAAUGUGCAGAUCCUCUCUAAAUAGAAAAUAGUUACUGUAGACACCCUAGUGAUACCAAUUUUCAAUUCAUUUAAGUAUAUACAGCCAACUUAAAGCUAGAUAUAAAAUGCUUCAUAGUCCUGGCUCUCACACUUUAUGAACCAAAAUUUACAUAUGCAAAUACAAACUAGGCACUAAAAUAAUAAUUACUCUGUUACAAGGUAGUCAACCAGAUAAUCCAGAUGUUGGUUGCAUACUGUUACAAUUAUUAGCACAAAAGCACAACAUUGUUUUACAAAUUCUUACAGCUCAAAUCACUGAGACUACUUCCCUUGGGUUCUCAGACUUCACUCGAAAUCACUGCAUUAAUCCAUUGGUUUACAGAACAAGUGCAGGCACUGAGGAGGCCUUGGCUGUGCUGACAAAGAGUUAACAACAAAGAGCACAACAGGGUGAGAGGGAGGACGCAUUCCUCUGAGGCAAGAGCAUCUUUCCGCUACAAGAAGAACAUUGAAAGUCAACAUUUUACUUCCCUUUGUCUGGCAGGAAGAUGUAUGUGCUGGUGGUGACUAUGAAAGUGUUUAUGACCCAAACAAUAAGCCAAAAUUAAUGAUCAACAAAAACUGAGCAGAAAGGAUAAAAAAGAAAAAAAAGAAAGAGAGAGAAAAUAGGAAAGAGAAAAGGCUAAAAACUCCAAUGUGAAGAUGCAACUAAUACCUCACUAGAAGUCUUUUUCUGCCUAAUGCAGAGAAAUAGAACAGUAGUCUCAACUAGAAACCUUUCUAUAAUUCACUACUCCCGCCCAGAAGAAAAGAGUGCUUUUUAUGAGCACUGACCCCUUCUUACCCAAAGGUGGCAUCAACCUGAAGAUAAUGAGCUCCAACAACAAAGGUCAGGCUGCUCCAAAGCUACAGGCUCACAAAAUGACUUGAAACCUGAGAACGGCUCAUGACAGGACUAGAUGCUUUAAGAAAAUGACAAUAACUGAAUAGACUGAAGCAAAAUUCAUCACUAGUAAGUACUCUACCCACCUUCUCCAAGGCAACAUGAAUAUGGAAGAUGGAUCACCAUCACCUACCACCCAGUCCACAAGUGCACAGGAAAGAUAAAGAAUGGAUAUACUGCAUGUUGGCACAUAAAGAGCCUCAAAGAUAAAUCAGCUGGGGGGGGGGGGGUGGGCAGGUAAGGGCAUGGAACUUAUUCAGGAAAAACUUCUACAGAAGAAAAAGUUAAAGGAAGUGAAGAAUCUUCCAGGAGAAAAUCUAGAUGAACUCAUUAUGCUCUUGAAGAGACUUAGAAAAUCUCAAAUAGGUCUUCUAGCAAUCAGUCAAAAACAGUUAAGACAACAAAACUAGAGGAAAAGCAUAGAGAACUCAGGGAGGAAAUUUAAGUUGAAAUCCCUAUAGAACUCUUAAAUAUGAGCAACAGAAUCAACAUGGCAGGCAAAGCAUGGACGAGAAAAACCACACCGAAUUCAAAAUAAUUCAAGCCAAUCAGACACAUUAUGAUAGAACCAGUAGUGAUCUAGUAAACAGGUAACUGGUAGACUACCACCACCCUUCCAAAAGGAGAGCCUAUGUGAGAAUGAAAAAAAAAAAAAAAAAUUCAGAGCUUUCGGGUUGGUAAACUGUGGAGAUUUAGGGAGAGGGCAUGGAAGAAGCUCCCUGCCCCUUCCCUAUUCCUUGUCCUACGCAUCUCUUCCACCUGGCUGUUUGAGUUAUAUCCUUUUAUAAUAAACUGUUAACCUGGUAAGGACAAAACAAGCAAACAGAAAGCAAUCAAACAUUAAACCAAAAAAAAAAAAAACUGGUGAGGGGGCAUGUAAUAAACUCAAAGACUGAAGAAGGACAAACUUAAACACAAGCAGGAAACUAAACACCUUAACAAAACUGUUAAGCCGUAUUAUUAAAGGCUGAUCCAAAAUGAGCAUGGAAAGUUGCCUGAAAUGAAUUGUUCCAAGAUCCUCUUUGCACUCAAAAGAGAAAACAUUACCUAGCAAUUGAUAUUUUUCAAACCAGCCUAGUAAGCUGUUCCUUCUCUACACUCCCUGUGGCUAUAGAUUUGGCCCUUCCCUGGGAGGAGAAAGGAGUAAGUUAGUAAGAGUUUUGUUUGAGAAUUUAACUAUGGGGCAAGUUUACAAAGAUAAUUGUGAACGCAGCUAGCAAAAAGUGAAAUGUUAACCAUCCUGUUAUAAUAGCAUCAAUAAACACUGAAAGUAA